UGCAGUAGCAAGUAGAUGUAUAGAAUAGGGUGUUACAGUGCAUGUGAUCUACUUGGAUUUUGCAAAGGUGUUCAAUAUGUUUCCACACAAUAGGCUAGUGUUCAAAGUAAAAUAAAUUGGUCUAAAUGAAAAUGCUUGUUCUUGGGUAGAUCAUUGGCUUAAUCAUAGAGAAUAGAGAGUUGUCAUUAAUGGUACAUUUUCAAGCUGGGCAAUAGUGGUAAAUAGUGUGUUC